rnacentral:rRNA from 1 species
ACAAGCGGUGGAUGAUGUGGAUUAAUUCGAUGCAACGCGAAAACCUUACCUACCUUGACAUGUCCGGAAUCCGAAGAGAUUUGGGAGUGCUCGCAAGAGAGCCGGAACACAGGUGCUGCAUGGCUGUCGUCAGCUCGUGUCGUGAGAUGUUGGGUUAAGUCCCGCAACGAGCGCAACCCUUGUCAUUAGUUGCCAUCAUUUGGUUGGGCACUCUAAUGAGACUGCCGGUGACAAACCGGAGGAAGGUGGGGAUGACGUCAAGUCCUCAUGGCCCUUAUGGGUAGGGCUUCGCACGUCAUACAAUGGUCGGUACAGAGGGUUGCCAACCCGCGAGGGGGGAGGCUAAUCCCACAAAGCCGAUCGUAGUCCGGAUCGCAGUCUGCAACUCGACUGCGUGAAGUCGGAAUCGCUAGUAAUCGUGGAUCAGCAUGUCACGGUGAAUACGUUCCCGGGUCUU